rnacentral:rRNA from 1 species
AUUGAACGCUGGCGGCAGGCCUAACACAUGCAAGUCGAACGGAGCGGCGGACGGGUGAGUAAUGUCUGGGAAUCUGCCUGGUAGUGGGGGAUAACGUCUGGAAACGGUCGCUAAUACCGCAUACUAUCAGAUGAGCCCAGGUCGGAUUAGCUAGUUGGUGGGGUAACGGCUCACCAAGGCGACGAUCCCUAACUGGUCUGAGAGGAUGAUCAGUCACACUGGAACUGAGACACGGCCCAGACUCCUACGGGAGGCAGCAGUGGGGAAUAUUGGACAAUGGGCGCAAGCCUGAUGCAGCCAUGCCGCGUGUGUGAAGAAGGUCUUCGGGUUGUAAAGCACUUUAAGUUGGGAGGCGUUACCGACAGAAUAAGCACCGGCUAACUCCGUGCCAGCCGCCGCGGUAAUAC